rnacentral:rRNA from 1 species
UACGUAGGGAGCGAGCGUUGUCCGGAUUUAUUGGGCGUAAAGAGCGCGUAGGCGGCUCGGUAAGCCGGAUGUGAAACCUCCAAGCUCAACUUGGAGCGGCCAUUCGGAACUGCUGUGGCUAGAGUCUGGUAGGGGAACACGGAAUUCCUGGUGUAGCGGUGAAAUGCUUAGAUAUCAGGAGGAACACCAGUGGCGAAGGCGGUGUUCUGGGCCAGUACUGACGCUGAGGCGCGAAAGCGUGGGGAGCAAACAGG